rnacentral:rRNA from 1 species
UCAGGACGAACGCUGGCGGCGUGCUUAACACAUGCAAGUCGAACGAGAAUCUGCGGAAAGAGGAUUCGUCCAAUUGAAGCAGAGGACAGUGGCGGACGGGUGAGUAACGCGUGAGGAACCUGGCCUUUCAGAGGGGGACAACAGUUGGAAACGACCUGCUAAUACCGCAUGACACAUCGGGGUCGCAUGGCUCUGAUGUCAAAGAUUUAUCGCUGAAAGAUGGCCUCGCGUCUGAUUAGCUAGUUGGUGGGGUAACGGCCUACCAAGGCGACGAUCAGUAGCCGACCUGAGAGGGUGAUCGGCCACAUUGGAACUGAGACACGGUCCAAACUCCUACGGGAGGCAGCAGUGGGGAAUAUUGCACAAUGGGCGAAAGCCUGAUGCAGCAACGCCGCGUGAGCGAAGAAGGUCUUCGGAUCGUAAAGCUCUGUCCUUGGGGAAGAUAAUGACGGUACCCUUGGAGGAAGCCCCGGCUAACUACGUG